rnacentral:piRNA from 1 species
UUCUCUCCGAGCAUGUGGGUCUCGCUGAGC